CCCCUCUAGGAAACAGAAACAAUCGGAGCCUCGCCGAUUUCGGAUUGUGAUUCUGUACAAGCCGGUCGUACUCGUCCAUCAUAUUUUCCACAUCCUCGUCUGUUGACACUGAAAUCAAGGCGUCGAGAUCUUCAUUGGGAAGCUGGUACUUUAUGCUCAUGUUAAUUGUACCUAAACAAAAUAAACAAAUUCAAUUCCCCUUUUCGGAACAAGAAUCAAUUCAUAAACCCCCAAAUUUCAAUGAAAAAACAGGGCAUCGAAGUUAAACUUGCCAGUGAUCUUAGCGAGUUUGGCAAGGAAGUGGGAGAAAGUGGUGGAGCGUUGAACAGCAACAAUGCGAGUCUCGCCACCGACGUAUCGGAGUUGAUUAUCGUGCGGUCGGGGUAAGAUAUUGCCACC
rnacentral:lncRNA from 1 species